rnacentral:rRNA from 1 species
AGCAGCCGCGGUAAUUCCAGCUCCAAUAGCGUAUAUUAAAGUUGUUGCAGUUAAAAAGCUCGUAGUUGAAUUUCGAGAUCAAAUUGUUGGUCGUGCCUCGGUACGUACUGGUAAUUUUGGUUUCUCCCUUCUGAAGAACCAUGAUGUCAUUAGUUUGGUGUCUUGGGGAAUCAGGACUGUUACUUUGAAAAAAUUGAGUGUUUAAAGCAGGCUCGCGCUUGAAUACAUUAGCAUGGAAUAAUGAAAUAGGACGUUUGAUUCUAUUUUGUUGGUUUCUAGGAUCGACGUAAUGAUUAAUAGGGAUAGUUGGGGCAUUAGUAUUCAAUUGUCAGAGGU